GCUGCAGGGCAUUUCGCUGAACGUGAACGAAGGCGAGACGGUGACGCUGCUGGGGCGCAACGGCGCGGGCAAGUCGACGACGCUCAAGACGAUCGCGGGUGUCGUGGCGCCCACUGGCGGC
rnacentral:snoRNA from 1 species